GACGAACGCUGGCGGCGUGCUUAACACAUGCGAGUCGAACGAUGACGACCGAGCUUGCUCGGUCUGAUUAGUGGCGAACGGGUGAGUAACACGUGAGCAACCUGCCCUUCACUCUGGGAUAACCUCGGGAAAUCGGGGCUAAUACCGGAUAUGAGCUCCUGUCGCAUGGCGGGUGUUGGAAAGUUUUUCGGUGAAGGAUGGGCUCGCGGCCUAUCAGUUUGUUGGUGAGGUAGUGGCUCACCAAGGCGAUGACGGGUAGCCGGCCUGAGAGGGCGACCUGCCACACUGGGACUGAGACACGGCCCAGACUCCUACGGGAGGCAGCAGUGGGGAAUAUUGCACAAUGGGCGAAAGCCUGAUGCAGCGACGCCGCGUGAGGGAUGACGGCCUUCGGGUUGUAAACCUCUUUCAGCAGGGAAGAAGCGAAAGUGACGGUACCUGCAGAAGAAGCGCCGGCUAACUACGUG
rnacentral:rRNA from 1 species